UACGUAGGGGGCGAGCGUUGUCCGGAAUUACUGGGCGUAAAGAGAGCGUAGGCGGCACUACAAGUCUCAUGUGAGAUACCCGGGCUUAACUUGGGGGUUGCAUGGGAAACUGUAGAGCUUGAGUACAGGAGAGGCAAGCGGAAUUCCUAGUGUAGCGGUGAAAUGCAUAGAUAUUAGGAGGAACACCAGUGGCGAAGGCGGCUUGCCGGACUGAAACUGACGCUGAGGCUCGAAAGCGUGGGGAGCAAACAGG
rnacentral:rRNA from 1 species